GAUGAACGCUGGCGGCGUGCCUAAUACAUGCAAGUCGAGCGAAGCGGGGACGGGUGAGUAACACGUGGAUAACCCCCCAUCAGACUGGGAUAACUUCGGGAAACCGGAGCUAAACCCGAUGCUUAUCGCAGGUUCCGUGUGGCAUUAGCUAGGUGGUAAGGUAACGGCUUACCAAGGCAACGAUGCAUAGCCGACCUGAGCGGGUGAUCGGCAACACUGGAACUGAGACACGGUCCAGACUCCUACGGGAGGCAGCAGUAGGGAAUCUUCCGCAAGGGGCGAAAGCCUGACGGAGCAACGCCGCGUGAGUGAUGAAGGUCUUCGGAUCGUAAAACUCUGUUAUUAGGGAAGCGGUACCUAAUCAGAAAGCCCCGGCUAACUACGUGCCAGCAGCCGCGGUAAUAC
rnacentral:rRNA from 1 species